AACGAACGCUGGCGGCAGGCCUAACACAUGCAAGUCGAGCGAGGACUUCGGUUCUAGCGGCGGACGGGUGAGUAACGCGUGGGAAUGUGCCCUUCUCUACGGAAUAGCCCUGGGAAACUGGGAGUAAUACCGUAUACGCCCUAUUGGGGAAAGAUUUAUCGGAGAAGGAUCGGCCCGCGUUGGAUUAGGUAGUUGGUGGGGUAAUGGCCUACCAAGCCGACGAUCCAUAGCUGGUUUGAGAGGAUGAUCAGCCACACUGGGACUGAGACACGGCCCAGACUCCUACGGGAGGCAGCAGUGGGGAAUCUUAGACAAUGGGGGCAACCCUGAUCUAGCCAUGCCGCGUGAGUGAUGAAGGCCUUAGGGUUGUAAAGCUCUUUCAGCUGGGAAGAUAAUGACGGUACCAGCAGAAGAAGCCCCGGCUAACUCCGUG
rnacentral:rRNA from 1 species